rnacentral:lncRNA from 1 species
AUCCCAGAAUUUAAACAGCCAAUUCUUAUCAAACUGAACUAGAUGUGUUGCAAUUAUUUUAAGUCAUUCAAGUGGGAAGUUUUGCUAGCUAUAAAACCAGGUCUAACCCAUCAGUCAUACAAGUGGGAGGUUUUGCUAGCUAUAAAACCAGGUCUAACCCAUCAGUCAUACAAGUGGGAAGUUUUGCUACCUAUAAAACCAGGUCUAACCCAUCAGUCAUACAAGUGGGAAGUUUUGCUAGCUAUAAAACCAGGUCUGACCCAUCAUUUUCUUCUUAAAAUGCCUCUACCAAAUAAGGAAUAAUACACUUGUUUUCCAUUCCUUCAGAAGGUUGAUAUAGUCAAAGGUUAAAUUUUACCAGGUUUUAUAGACUUUCCCCUUUUUUAAUUUACCAUAUAGCUUGGUAGUUUUGUUAGUUUUUAAUUUCAGCCAUGUUAAAUCAGGUAAAAUUAAUGUUGUAUUUUAAAAUCAAGGGAGGUGAUAAUAAUCUUAAAAAUAAUAUAUAAGCAGUUAUUCAAAUGACAUUCGACAAUCAUAACAAAUUCAUUCCUUUUGCCCACACUCACUUUCAUAUAUUAAGCUCACAAUAUUAAUCCUAUAAACAAAUAAAAAUUUAAUAAUAUAUAUAUAUUUAUAUAUAUAUAUGUAAUAUAUAGAGAUUCUACAUGUACUACAUUUAACACAUAAGUUUUGACAAAUACUGUGGAUUCAUUUAUUUUUCGGGGGAUGCAAUUUUUCUUGCAUUUGGUUUUAUAAGAGACAACAAAUUCAAUUGUUCUACAUACUAUAAAUUUUCUGUAGGCUUGUGUACAGAAUUUUGAAAAAAAAACACAAAAUCAAACAUCCACAUACAUAAACAAUUUCUGAAUCAAGUUAAAUUGUAACUAAAUGAAUCCAUGGUACUGCAAUUUUUACUAUUUUAGGGAGCUACCAUUUAAUUUUUAUGGGGGGGGCUAAAAAAAAAUUGUGUCCUGCAUUUUUUUUUUGUUGUAAUCUCUAUCCUGCCUUUUUAUUUUUCACUCUUUUCAGUCCUGUUCUUCUUUUAAAAGUUUAUUCUGACUUUUUUUUUUACCCAUAUUGUCAUCCUGACUUUUUUUUUGCAAGUGUCUCAUCCUGCCUUUUUUUUUACUCAAAACUCCUGUCCUGCCUAUUUAAAAUUUCAUCCUAGCCCCACCCCCAACCUAAAAAUCAAAUAGUAGCUCCCUUACAAUCAUUUAAAUGACAUAUCAUUUACACUGUAGUCUGACAUAUAUUAUUACAAUAUUCAGAUAUUACUCACAUUUAACAUUUUUACUUUAAUUAUUUGGUGCUUAACAAAUAUUAGCUUUCUCAAAAAGCUUCAAACAUAUAUGUAGAUGAACAACCUUUAGAAAAAGAACCUUUAAUUCAGAAUUGAUCCUUGAGGCCUCAUUUACAAUCCAUUGCACAACAUGAACUUAAAUAAAAUGAGCUCUAAAUGUCUUUUUUGAUUUCAUUGCUUUGUUGGAUACUGUUAACAAGUAACAUAUACUAAUCAUUUCUUUUAUUCAUAUAUCAAAACGUUUUAUUAUUAAAUCUAGUUGUCUGCCAUGGGGUAAAAUAAUUCUCUUUCUUAAUUUUAAUCUUUUCUCUUUCAUAAUUUCAAUCUUUUAUCUUUCAUAAUUUCAAUCUUGUAGAAUUUUAUAAAAUGGCAUUUAAAAACUCUUUAAGAUAAAUUGUAUAUUAAAUAACGUUUCUUUUGCGGUUUAAAAAUAAAUAUAACUAUUCAUGUUUUAAAGUCCAUAUAAUUAUGUGAUUUUUAAAUUAUGGUGAGGUAUGAUAAGAGUCAUUACCUGGCCCCUUUUAACUUUUUAAUUUUAAAUUCAUCAAUUCUUACAUUAAAGGUAAUUUUUGUUUUAUGAUGGUACAGUGUCAACACUUAAGUACAGAAAUGUCAGUAUAUGAUGUCACAGUGAUGUCAUUAACAUGCUGAAAUUGUUAUAUUUGACCAACAAUGACAAUAUAUCUGUCAUAGUUUUGGGAAAAAUCAAUAUAAGCCAAGUUUUACCCCCUAAAAAUAAUUUACUAUUUUUAACACUUUUCUAUGAGACAUCUUUAUGCAAAAUAUAUAUUCUGGUAAGGUAUCUAAAUAUACAUG